rnacentral:rRNA from 1 species
UGGACAAUGGGGCGCAAGCCUGAUCCAGCCAUGCCGCGUGUCUGAAGAAGGCCUUCGGGUUGUAAAGGACUUUUGUCAGGGAGCAAAACUUACUGGUUAAUACCUGGUGAGGUUGAGAGUACCUGAAGAAUAAGCACCGGCUAACUACGUGCCAGCAGCCGCGGUAAUACGUAGGGUGCAAGCGUUAAUCGGAAUUACUGGGCGUAAAGCGUGCGCAGGCGGACUUUUAAGCCAGAUGUGAAAGCCCCGAGCUUAACUUGGGAAUUGCGUUUGGAACUGGGAGUCUAGAGUCUGUCAGAGGGGAUGGAAUUCCACGUGUAGCAGUGAAAUGCGUAGAGAUGUGGAGGAACACCGAUGGCGAAGGCAGUCCCCUGGGAUAAGACUGACGCUCAUGCACGAAAACGUGGGGAGCAAACAGGAUUAGAUACCCUGGUAGUCCACGCCCUAAACGAUGUCUACUAGUUGUUGGGGUAGUCAAUACCUCAGUGACGCAGCUAACGCGUGAAGUAGACCG